rnacentral:rRNA from 1 species
GACAGAGGUGCCGAGCGUUAGGCGGAAUCACUGGGCUUAAAGCGUGUGUAGGCGGAUGCCUAAGUAUCUUGUGAAAUCCCACGGCUCAACCGUGGAACUGCUUGAUAUACUGGGUGUCUUGAGCCAUCUAGGGGCUACCGGAACAAAUGGUGGAGCGGUGAAAUGCGUAGAUAUCAGGAGGAACACCGGCGGUGUAGACGGCUUUCUGGACCGUAGCUGACGCUGAGACACGAAAGCGUGGGUAGCAAACAGG